GCGGCAACAGCUCAAAUUUGAAAGCUGGCCUUCGGGUCCGCAUUGUAAUUUGUAGAGGAUGCUUUGGGGCAGCCGCCUGUCUAAGUUCCUUGGAACAGGACGUCAUAGAGGGUGAGAAUCCCGUAUGUGACAGGACAUGGCACCCUAUGUAAAGCUCCUUCGACGAGUCGAGUUGUUUGGGAAUGCAGCUCUAAAUGGGAGGUAAAUUUCUUCUAAAGCUAAAUACCGGCGAGAGACCGAUAGCGCACAAGUAGAGUGAUCGAAAGAUGAAAAGCACUUUGGAAAGAGAGUUAAAAAGCACGUGAAAUUGUUGAAAGGGAAGCGCUUGCAAUCAGACUUGUUUAAACUGUUCGGCCGGUCUUCUGACCGGUUUACUCAGUUUGGACAGGCCAGCAUCAGUUUCGGCGGCCGGAUAAAGGCCCUAGGAAUGUGACCCCCUCUUCGGAGGGGGUGUUAUAGCCUGGGGUGUAAUACGGCCAGCCGGGACUGAGGUCCGCGCUUCGGCUAGGAUGCUGGCGUAAUGGUUGUAAGCGACCCGUCUUGAAACACGGACCAAGGAGUCUAACAUCUAUGCGAGUGUUCGGG
rnacentral:rRNA from 1 species